UAUUGGCCCCUCACCCUAGACCCUGUGGGGUGGGAUGUUGGCAAGUAUUUGGACAGGCCAGCUCUGGGUGGCUGGGAAGACCAGCAGGAAAGCCCACUUCUCUUGGCUCUGUAUCAUAAGUAAUCAUAAACUGAUAAAGUAGGCUUUAAGGGUGUGUGCCUACAUGUAUGUAUGUGGUAUGCAUGUAUGUGUGUGAACAUGCUGUGUAUGAGCAUGUGUGCCCACGCUUGCAUGUAUGAGUGUGCAUGUGUUCAGGAGGGGUAUGCAAGCAGGAGAUAAGGAUGAAGUGAAGUAGGGAGUAGACUUGUCUCAGGCAAGGAGACUGGCCUUGUCUUCCAUGAGUGGGGGUGGAGGCAGUCAGUGAGCGUAGAAGUUGGUCAGGUGGGCCAGGUCAGGCAAGCAAUGGGGACGGGGGAUGGCAGUGGCAGAGGAAGGUCUGGACCUUGAACAAGUCAGGCCCUGCUUUGGUCCUUCAGGUGGGAGUGUUGCAGGCUGCACCUAGGCUGUGCAGUUGAGACUCACUGCCAGACUCACCUGGACCUGGGCAGCAGAGGCUGUCCAGUUUCUGUUGACAAAGGAGCUGGUUCUUCACCUUACUCUGGAAGUAAGACAGAGCCAAGGCACAAAGAGAAGAGAAGAGAAGGGGCUGACAGAGUGAGCAAGGACUCAACUCCUUGACUGGGCCUCAUUGACUUGCUUCAGAUCCCAUGUCCUUCAUGGAAAAUAUCAGCAAGUCCAUGAACCAGGUCUUUCAUUAGAGAACUGCAGCGAGGGAUACUCAUGGUUUUGGCCUAGUGGGGCCCUUCUCUCUAGAAAGGGUCAGCAUAGUAAGUAAGAAUCAGCACUCCACAGAGAGGGUGGGCUGAGAAGCCUCCACAUGCCUGUGGAAAUCCAAACGCAAUUCUCCAGGACAGACUGUAUUCAAUAAAGGAAAGGACUCUUACUCAGAGUGGUAAUUGGGUUUUGAGGAUAAAGAUACAAAUCUGGGCCUUACUGAAGAUAGUUAUGUUAGCUUUUAUAUAUGACACAAAUUAUGUUUACUUUUUUAUGUAUAAUGCCAAUUGGUUGUUUUGGUGAUAUUUUCAUCUUAUUCCUCAUAUUUGGGUACCAUCACUGUCCACAAAGCACUUGGGCAGCACCGGUGGAGCCAUGAAAACAUCAGCUAGGACUCAGACUCAGUUUCUGGCCCUGCUGCCUGAUCUUAGGGAAGCCUCUUCACCCUUCUCAGCCUCAGUUUCUCUGUUGGUAAAACAAGAAAGCUGCACUAGAUCGUCCUUAAUGUGUGGCCGGGUUCUAACCUUCAGAGAUGCAGUGUGCCAUGUGCACAAGCACCCACAUGUGUGUGGGAUGGUAUCUGCGCGUGGCCAUAGAAUUGACAUAAAGAUCAAAUGUAAACAACAACAGGAGUAGAAAAUCUCUGUUUCUGAAAGAAAUUCACUGUCAAAUCCAACAUUAUUCACUUCUUAAUUUUCCAGUAUGCCUGACUUCGAUAAUAUGUUCUGCUUUAUACCAAAAGCCCAGAGGCAUGAAAUGGAUUAGCUCUUGGAAAGUUGGGAGGUAUCCAACACUUUCCUGACUGGUGUUCCAUAUUACAUUCCUGCUCUGUGAAUAUGACUGGAUGCUGAGUGAUAUAAUCAGUAUAAACCAUAGGCUUAGAAGUUAAGCAGAUUUGCUGCUCUGAAGCGGCCUGAGAGCCAGUGGAAGAAGAGCACACAGCACGGAAGAUGGGCUUCUUGACCAUUCCUGGAUCUCAGGGCAACUUCUUUCUGACAUGACCCUCAUCAUAGAGAUAAUUCUGCACAACAGGAGGCAAUGAGCAAUCACACUGAUAAACAGAUGACUAUGUGUCUAGAUGUUUCUGUAGCCAAGAUCAAAGAAGUUGUUGCCUGUGUUCUCCUCCAGGAUUUUGAUGGAUUCCUCUCACAUUAAGGUCUUUCAACCAUUUUGAAUUUGUUUUUGUGAAUGGUGUAAGAAAGUUGAUCCAGUUUCAUACUUCUGCAUGUUGUUGUCCAGUUUUCCAAACAGCAUUUGUUGAAAGGCUGUCUUUUUCCCAUUGGAUAUUAUUUCAUGCUUUGUCAAAGAUUAGUGGACCAUAGAGUUUAGAGUCCUAUUACUCUAUUCUGUUGAUCUGUAUGCCUGUUUUUGUGCCAGUACCAUAAUAUAUUGAUGAUUACAGCACUGUAAUUACAGCUUGAUGUCCAGAAUUGGGAUGCCUUCAGUUUUGGUUUUCUUUUUCAACAUUACUUAUUUGGGGUCUUUCCUGGUUCCAUACAAAUUUUAGAAAUAUUGUCCCAGCAGUGUGAAAAAUGCUGGUGUUAUUUUGAUAGGGAUUGCAUCAAAUGUAUAGAUUGUCAUGAGUAGUAUGGGCAUUUUAACAAUAUUCUUCCAAUCCAAGAGCAUGGAAUGUUUUUCCAUUUCUUUGUGUCUUCCUCAAUUUCUUUUAUAAGUGUUCUAUUAUUUUCAGAGUACUGAUCUUUUUACUUUUUUUGGUUAGGUUUAUUCCUAGAUAUCUUAUAGUUUUUGGUACAAUUAUAAACGGGAUCAAUUCCUUGAUUUCUCUUUCUGCUGCUUCAUUAUUGGUGUAUAGAAAUGCAAUAGACUCCUGUGUAUUGAUUUUAUAUCCUGAGACUUUGUUGUAUUCCUGUAUAAGUUCUGGUAAUUUUUGGUGAAAUCUUCUGAGUUUUCUACCUAGAGUAUCAUGUUAUCUGCAAAGAGUGAAAUUGUGAAUGAAAAAGAAUAUUAAGUCUUAAGCAGGAAAAAAAAAAAAGAAAGAAAGAAACUUUUCUGGAAAUGUCGGUGUGAAACUGGAAGAGGAAAUAAAAAAAUGAAAAUCCUAAAAACUACCAAAAAUGAAAGACAUUACACAGAAAGAAAAAUUAUCUUCAGAUUGGAAAUCACUUCUUAUCAGAUACACAAGUCUCCAGAAGAUAAUGGAAUAAUAUAUAUAAGAUGGAGAUGUAUGAGAAGUGGUCAAGGUAAUCAUAAUACUGUACCCAACAAACUGUCAUCCAGGAAUAAGGGAAAGAUAAAGGUUUUCAAGCCUAGAAAGACUAUGCCAAUUUAUUACUUAUAUAUCUUUUCUAAAAGAACUAAUUGAGGAUGUACUUUAGCAUGAAGAUUAUUGAACUUGGAAGGAAGUAUUUUUUUUAAAAAAGCAACAUAUAGUGUACAGAAUAAUUACAUAUGUAAAUCUAAAUUUUUUAUUUACUGACAGUAAAUAAUAGUAGUGAUUUUCCCCCAUGAAUUUAAAAGUAAGAUGUAUAAAAUACUAGAAAAAAUAAUAUGGAUAAUGAAAGUGACACUCUAGAGGAAAAGGAAAGCAAGCUGAUUUUGUUUUCAGGAGGGAGAAAACAAAGAAAGAAAUUACUACAAUAUUUGUGAGAAAAAAUAUAAGUUAAAGACAUAUGUUAAAAUUUUUAGGUACUGUUAAUGGUAGUAAAACCUGUCAAUAAAGGGAUGUGUUCCUUAAAUCAGGAUUGAACUGAAAGAAAACUGAAGUCAUGUUUAUUCACAAUUUCUUGUUGAGCAAAGAGCAUGGCUAUAACUGGCAGCUGGACCUGCAGAGAACCAGCGUUAGGAAUUACCUUUGGUAAA